GGGGAUUUAGCUCAGCGGCAUAAGCGCCUGCCUUGCAAGCAGGCAGUCGUGAUCCCCA
rfam:Cavia porcellus supercont2_12 genomic scaffold, whole genome shotgun sequence.